AUCAAUUUAAACACAGAAAAAUCUUUGGAGCGAUAGAUUGGCCAAAACACAAUACCGAUAAUCAACACUCUUUAUCUUGAGCAUGACCACCAAACUGGUAGUGUAAAACUAACAAAAAAUGACUGGGCAUCCUUGCUGGGCGUUGAGUAGUUGAAAAGCCGAGUUACCGGCAAUAAUUAGUAAAAAAAUGACAAUUGAUGCAACAUGUCAAAUCAAACUGCCACAACUAAUGUAUGAGAUACUUCUAUUCCAAAUUAUUUUUUCACACAAUAUCCAUUAGGUCCCGGGCAAAAUAUAGGUAAUUCAAAUUAAACCUAAUGAAGAGGCAGGAGAGGGGGCAGGUAAAGGAGAACGGGUCAUUGUCAUCGACAACAUCUCAGCAGGAGAGGGUUUCAGACAGUCUUUCUUGCACGCAUACAUGGACGGGUAGCACUCUAGAUUCGCAAGGCAACACAAGCAAAGCCAUCCAUCUUUGCACGGUUUACCAUUGACACAAAGCCCAUGCGGAAAAUUGAUCUUCUCAUCAUCCACGUCUUCUUCGAUGAUCCGACCUAUGGUACAAUAAUCAAUUAGCCGUUGACAUGGUAACUGAUCUCUCUGUGGAAGUGCAUACAUUGAGCAGUAGGUGCGGAGCAUAGGAGAUGGAGAGACAGUAGCAAGGCUAGACCGUAGAUGCGAAUUGUGUACCUGUCCAUCCUCUUCUAAUGCAGUUUGAAAAUGCUAGGGAAAAGAUACAC
rnacentral:lncRNA from 1 species